GGCAGGAGUGUGGCACUAGGCCCUCGGGACAGGGAACUCAGAUGGAUGCCAUUUACCAAAAGGGAGCAGGAUAGUCAGCAUAUCUUUGAAGCAAAGCCAUGACUAUAGGCUGGUGCCUGACAGACGGAAGUAGAAGAAUGUGAACUGCUUUCAGUGCUCCUUCAUGUUGGCUAUUAGAAAUAGUAAAUAAACCAAGAACGAAAUC